UGCACUAGGGGAGCCUUGCGGCUGAGAUGAAUAUGACUAUUCGGACCCUUUGAACCUGAUCUGGAUCAUACCAGCGGAGGGAAGUGGAG
rnacentral:ncRNA from 1 species